ACUCCUACGGGAGGCAGCAGUGGGGAAUAUUGCACAAUGGGCGCAAGCCUGAUGCAGCCAUGCCGCGUGUAUGAAGAAGGCCUUCGGGUUGUAAAGUACUUUCAGCGGGGAGGAAGGCGAUAAGGUUAAUAACCUUGUUGAUUGACGUUACCCGCAGAAGAAGCACCGGCUAACUCCGUGCCAGCAGCCGCGGUAAUACGGAGGGUGCAAGCGUUAAUCGGAAUUACUGGGCGUAAAGCGCACGCAGGCGGUCUGUCAAGUCGGAUGUGAAAUCCCCGGGCUCAACCUGGGAACUGCAUUCGAAACUGGCAGGCUAGAGUCUUGUAGAGGGGGGUAGAAUUCCAGGUGUAGCGGUGAAAUGCGUAGAGAUCUGGAGGAAUACCGGUGGCGAAGGCGGCCCCCUGGACAAAGACUGACGCUCAGGUGCGAAAGCGUGGGGAGCAAACAGGAUUAGAAACCCCAGUAGUCCC
rnacentral:rRNA from 1 species